UAUAUAUUCCUGCAGUGCGGGGAGGGGGGGGGCUGGACCAGACGACCCUCAGGGUCCCUUCCGACUCUACGACCCUGGGAUGCUGAGGCCCUGCGCUGCGGAGGCAGGGCGGCCUGGUGAAAGAGAGGGCAGCGGCGACGCCUGCACUUCCACAGGUUCUCUGUUGGGGAAAAUGAAGGAUCUCCAGGAGAAAGGGCCCCCCAUUGAGGAGAUCUGGGACCUCCUGCUUUCCCAGGUAAGGAUCCCAGAGCAGGGCGGAGAGGCUGGUGGCAACUGGGAGGGGGCUGCCUGUGGGUCUCCAGUUGAGUUGGGCGCCUUGAUUUCCUGAUGCUCACCAGGCAUGUUUCCUCUCUCUCCCCUGCCCCCUUCUUUCCUUCCUUCCCCCCAGUUUGGGGUGGCUGCAAGCGAGGAGCUCCAGCAGGCCUUCUCGGCUGCUGGCUUGGCACUGUCUCUCUUUUCCCAUGGGGGGCGGGGGCGGGGGCGGGGGCGGGCAGGCAGCCUGUCCUCUUCUCCCUGCUGCUCACUCCCUGGGCAAAUGCCAGAGUGCAGGCGAACCAGCUAGGUGGUGUAGAUUAGGUGACAUACUCUAGUUGCACGGCACCCAAAUCUCCAGGUGGUGUGAGAUUCCAGGGGGUCCGGGGGCUUUCUCUAGGUUUGGUUUCCUUGGAAUGAGGGGCAGCCUCCUGUUCUGACAGCAGCCGCCCAGUUGCCCCGAAGGAGAAGCCCCUAAGCAGGCAGGAGCUGAGCAGCAAGCCUCGCCCCACUUGCUUUGUUGCUUGUGAUCCUGGAGGUGGCUGACUCUCUGCUGUCCAGAAACAUGUUGUCUGUCUGCUUCCUUCUCUGCCUCUCCCAGGACAUCAAGAGCAGCUCCCUGAAUGCCACUACCGCCAGCUGACCGAUUUCCUGGAUUGUGAGCUGCGGCGCCUGGCCAGCUACUCUCUGCUGCUGGAUAACACCAUCCAGCACACUAAUGGUUUGCGCUGGGAGCUGCUUUGGGUUUCAAACUAAAACAAACCAACUUUGCCCGUGUCUCUCUCUCUAUCACCCUCUCGCUCUGCACCUUCUUCGCUCAGGGGCGAGCUGGGAGCACCAGUGCCUUUGCCUGGCACGCAAUGAGUGCAAGGAGAUCCUUGAGGACGACCAGGCAGAGCUGAGGCAGGCAGAGAACCACCGGCGGCUGCAAGCCUACCAACAGUGCCUGGAUGCCCGAUCCCUACACAAGGGCAGCCGCCCACUGGCCAGGCCCUUCCUGGUAAGGUCUCCUCUUUGCCCUCCCCUCCAAUCCCUGGCCUUGUCCUGCUCUUCCCCUCCAUGAAAUGCUGCCUUUUUCUGCCCCUGCUGUGCAGAACCUUGACCUCAUGGAGCACCGCAUAAUCCAGGAGGGGCUUCUGCAGCUGCGCAUCAGCAAGAAGAAGACUGUGGGUACAUGGAAGAAAUGACAUCUCGUGCCAAAACACACACACAUGGUAGAGACACAGGCCCAGUCACCAGAGUGGGUGGCAGGGGGCAAAUUUUGAUGGCGCCUGGGCCCCCUGGACCCCCUGGACGUGGCACCUAUGGGUGCCAGCUUGAACAAAAUAUUGUAAAUAAAAGCAAAGACAAGGAUCCUCACAGCAGUCCUGAGCAGUGGUGCCGGGAGCUCAGGGGCCCAGCUUAGACAAGGAGACCUGAAUGGAACUUCUGCCUGACCGUAUGAACAGGAAUUGAUAAACCAACAGCUGUUGGAUAAGGAAUUGAAGAUGAGGAAUAAAUUGUCAGAGAUAAACACAUUACAUCAACUGCAACAGGGGGGAAACAGGGAUGCAUCAAGGAACUAGAGCCGGAAGUUAACUUUUUUGUCUUAAAUUUGAUGUAAUUUGGCACUGAUUUGUCAAAAAAAAUUUGGGGGGGGGACCCCAAUAAAUAUUGGCCCCAAAGAAGGAA